rnacentral:rRNA from 1 species
AUUGAACGCUGGCGGCAGGCCUAACACAUGCAAGUCGAGCGGAGCGGCGGACGGGUGAGUAAUGCCUAUGUAUCUGCCUGGUAGUGGGGGAUAACGUCCGGUAACGGGCGCUACUCCCACAUCCUCUCAGAUGAGCCUAGGUCGGGUUAGCUAGUUGGUGUGGUAAAGGCCUAGCAAGGCGAAGAUCCGUAACUGGUCUGAGAGGAUGAUCAGUCACACUGGAACUGAGACACGGUCCAGACGCCUACGGGAGGAAGAAGUGGGGAAUAUUGGACAAUGGGCGAAAGCCUGAUCCAGCCAUGCCGCGUGUGUGAAGAAGGUCUUCGGAUGGUAAAGCACUUUAAGUUGGGAGGCGUUACCAACAGAAUAAGCACCGGCUAACUUCGUGCCAGCAGCCGCGGUAAUUC